GAAUUUUGGACAAUGGGCGCAAGCCUGAUCCAGCCAUGCCGCGUGCGGGAAGAAGGCCUUCGGGUUGUAAACCGCUUUUGUCAGGGAAGGAAUCCUUUGAGUUAAUACCUCGGGGGGAUGACGGUACCUGAAGAAUAAGCACCGGCUAACUACGUGCCAGCAGCCGCGGUAAUACGUAGGGUGCAAGCGUUAAUCGGAAUUACUGGGCGGAAAGCGUGCGCAGGCGGUUGUGCAAGACAGGUGUGAAAUCCCCGGGCUUAACCUGGGAACUGCACUUGUGACUGCACAGCUGGAGUACGGCAGAGGGGGAUGGAAUUCCGCGUGUAGCAGUGAAAUGCGUAGAUAUGCGGAGGAACACCGAUGGCGAAGGCAAUCCCCUGGGCCUGCACUGACGCUCAUGCACGGAAGCGUGGGGAGCAAACAGG
rnacentral:rRNA from 1 species